rnacentral:rRNA from 1 species
GAGGAAAAGAAACUAACAAGGAUUCCCCUAGUAACGGCGAGUGAAGCGGGAAGAGCUCAAAUUUGUAAUCUGGCACUUUCAGUGUCCGAGUUGUAAUCUCGAGAAGUGUUUUCCGCGCCGGACCGCAUACAAGUCUGUUGGAAUACAGCGUCAUAGUGGUGAGAACCCCGUAACUGAUGCGGAUGCCCAGUGCUUUGUGAUACACUUUCGAAGAGUCGAGUUGUUUGGGAAUGCAGCUCAAAUUGGGUGGUAAAUUCCAUCUAAAGCUAAAUAUUGGCGAGAGACCGAUAGCGAACAAGUACCGUGAGGGAAAGAUGAAAAGCACUUUGGAAAGAGAGUUAACAGUACGUGAAAUUGUUGGAAGGGAAACGAUUGAAGUCAGACUUGUUAUCUGGAGUUCAGCCUUUCGGUGUACUCUCCAGUUUACAGGCCAGCAUCAGUUUUCGGGGCGGGAAAAUCGUAAUUAGAAGGUAGCAGCCUAGCUGUGUUAUAGCUUUUUACUGGAUUCCGCUUUGGGGACUGAGGAACGCAGUGUGCUUUUAGCAAUACCCUCGGGUAUUUCACACUUAGGAUGCUGGUGGAAUGGCUUUAAACGACCCGUCU